GAUGAACGCUGGCGGCGUGCUUAACACAUGCAAGUCGAACGAUGAAGCCCAGCUUGCUGGGUGGAUUAGUGGCGAACGGGUGAGUAACACGUGAGUAACCUGCCCUUAACUCUGGGAUAAGCCUGGGAAACUGGGUCUAAUACCGGAUAGGAGCGUCCACCGCAUGGUGGGUGUUGGAAAGAUUUAUCGGUUUUGGAUGGACUCGCGGCCUAUCAGCUUGUUGGUGAGGUAAUGGCUCACCAAGGCGACGACGGGUAGCCGGCCUGAGAGGGUGACUGGCCACACUGGGACUGAGACACGGCCCAGACUCCUACGGGAGGCAGCAGUGGGGAAUAUUGCACAAUGGGCGCAAGCCUGAUGCAGCGACGCCGCGUGAGGGAUGACGGCCUUCGGGUUGUAAACCUCUUUCAGUAGGGAAGAAGCGAAAGUGACGGUACCUGCAGAAGAAGCACCGGCUAACUACGUG
rnacentral:rRNA from 1 species